rnacentral:rRNA from 1 species
CUACGGGUGGCUGCAGUGGGGAAUAUUGCACAAUGGAGGAAACUCUGAUGCAGCAACGCCGCGUGGAGGAUGACACUUUUCGGAGCGUAAACUCCUUUUAUAUAGGAAGAAGAUGACGGUACUAUAUGAAUAAGCGCCGGCUAACUCCGUGCCAGCAGCCGCGGUAAUACGGAGGGCGCAAGCGUUACUCGGAAUCACUGGGCGUAAAGAGCGUGUAGGCGGAUUAAAAAGUCAGAAGUGAAAUCCUAUAGCUUAACUAUAGAACUGCUUCUGAAACUCUUAAUCUAGAAGAUGGGAGGGUAGAUGGAAUUUCUGGUGUAGGGGUAAAAUCCGUAGAGAUCAGAAGGAAUACCGAUUGCGAAGGCGAUCUACUAGAACAUUAUUGACGCUGAGACGCGAAAGCGUGGGGAGCAAACAGGAUUAGAUACCCCAGUAGUC